ACGCUCGACACCUACGGGGAGGCAGCAGGUGGGGAAUAUUGCACAAGUGGGGGAAACCCUGAUGCAGCGACGCCGCGUGAAGGAAGAAGUAUCUCGGUAUGUAAACUUCUAUCAGCAGGGAAGAAAGUGACGGUACCUGACUAAGAACGCCCCGGCUAACUACGUGCCAACAGCCGCGGUAAUCUGAGCGGGCUGGCAAGGC
rnacentral:rRNA from 1 species